UACGUAGGGGGCAAGCGUUGUCCGGAAUUAUUGGGCGUAAAGAGCUCGUAGGUGGCCUGUCGGCGUCGGCUGUGAAAACUCGGGGGCUCAACUCCGAGCUUGCAGUCGAUACGGGCAGGCUAGGAGUUCGGCAGGGGAGACUGGAAUUCCUGGUGUAGCGGUGAAAUGCGCAGGAUAUCAGGAGGAACACCGGUGGCGAAGGCGGGUCUCUGGGCCGAUACUGACACUGAGGAGCGAAAGCGUGGGGAGCGAACAGG
rnacentral:rRNA from 1 species